rnacentral:rRNA from 1 species
GUGAGUAAAGUGGCGUACGGGUGAGUAACACGUGGAUCAUCUACCCUCUUGUGGGGGAUAACCCUGGGAAACCGGGGCUAAUACCGCAUAAUACCCACGGGUCAAAGCAGCAAUGCGCUUGGAGAGGAGUUCGCGGCCGAUUAGUUAGUUGGCGGGGUAAUGGCCCACCAAGACGGUGAUCGGUAUCCGGCCUGAGAGGGCGCACGGACACACUGGAACUGAAACACGGUCCAGACUCCUACGGGAGGCAGCAGUGGGGAAUUUUGCGCAAUGGGGGAAACCCUGACGCAGCAACGCCGCGUGGAGGAUGAAAUCCCUUGGGAUGUAAACUCCUUUCGAUAGGGAAGAUAAUGACGGUACCUAUAGAAGAAGCCCCGGCUAACUUCGUGCCAGCAGCCGCGGUAAUACGAGGGGGGCAAGCGUUGUUCGGAAUUAUUGGGCGUAAAGGGUGCGUAGGCGGUUUGACAAGUCUAAUGUGAAAUCUAUGGGCUCAACCCAUAGUCUGCAUUGGAAACUGUCGGGCUUGAGUAUGGGAGAGGUGAGUGGAAUUUCCGGUGUAGCGGUGAAAUGCGUAGAUAUCGGAAGGAACACCUGUGGCGAAAGCGGCUCACUGGACCAUUACUGACGCUGAUGCACGAAAGCUAGGGGAGCAAACAGGAUUAGAUACCCUGGUAGUCCUAGCCCUAAACGAUGAUUGCUUGAUGUGGCAGGUACCCAAUCCUGCCGUGUCGAAGCUAACGCGAUAAGCA